CCUACGGGUGGCAGCAGUGGGGAAUAUUGCACAAUGGGGGAAACCCUGAUGCAGCGACGCCGCGUGAAGGAAGAAGUAUUUCGGUAUGUAAACCUCUAUCAGCAGGGAAGCAAAUGACGGUGCCUGACUCAGAAGCCCCGGCUAACUACGUGCCAGCAGCCGCGGUAAUCCGAAUGGGGCAAGCGUUAUCCGGAUUUACUGGGUGUAAAGGGAGCGUGGGCGGUUCAGCAAGUCGGACGGGAAAGCCCGGGGCUCAACUCCGGGACUGCUUUUGAAACUGUUGAACUAGAUUGCAGGAGAGGUAAGUGGAAUUCCUAGUGUAGCGGUGAAAUGCGUAGAUAUUAGGAGGAACACCAGUGGCGAAGGCGGCUUACUGGACUGUAAAUGACGCUGAGGCUCGAAAGCGUGGGGAGCAAACAGGAUUAGAUACCCUGGUAGUC
rnacentral:rRNA from 1 species